rnacentral:lncRNA from 1 species
CAAGUACAAACAAGCAGAGUGGUGCAAGAGGGUAGGCCUAACAACGCUCGCAAAUUGCAAUCAUUUUUUAUAAUUCUGGCCUGGAGGGGAUAGUCAAAUGCUCAAAUUAAGGUCUCUGUUGUCCCGAUGUUGCACUAAAAGUUUCCGAAUUUCGGGCACUUUUAAAACCUAAGUUCAACUUUGCAGAGUAUGAAAAGCUAUAGACCAACAGAGACUAAUUAAAGAAAAAAACCAAAUAGUCACAAUUUCUGCCUAGAUUCGAUCAGGAGGUGCCGACACGGACUAACCUACGAUUAACGAAGGCGCAUUUGGGGGUUUUUUUGGGCGGUUCAACCCAAGCCCCGGAGCACAUUCCCCUUUUCCCCCAGGCGGCCACGAAUCCCAAGCCAAGAACCACCCAUAACGCGCCGGAUCCGUCUCGGACGGCGGCGCGCGAGCAAGAAACGAGGGGGGGAAGCGAGCGAGCUCACCCUGGGGAAAGGGACCGGCGGCGCCUCCCGCUCCGCGUGUGCCUCGUCUUGCCGCGCUGCCCCCUGUUCCAUGGGAGGGGCGGGCGCGGGGUAGCCGUUGACGGCCAAGGAGCCUGGCGUGAUAUAUACUCGUAUAACCGCGCCCGCUACGGCGCGUACGAACGGCUGGCUGCCGGGGGAAUGCGGGCCGUCAAAUCCGCCGGAAAGAGUGAGGAUCUUGCGCUGGUUUCCGUGCCUUUCCGUCUAUGGUGUCGGCUUUUUCUUCCCGUAAUGGAGCAGAGAGAGAGAGAGAGGGGGGGGGCAGACGAAAGUAGAGAGCGCGGAGUGAGGUGGGUGAUCAGUGGAGAGAGACGCCUCCGAUGUGGAGACGUGGAGUGUUUAC